rnacentral:rRNA from 1 species
UACGGAGGAUCCAAGCGUUAUCCGGAUUUAUUGGGUUUAAAGGGUGCGUAGGCGGCCAAUUAAGUCAGGGGUGAAAGACGGUAGCUUAACUAUCGCAGUGCCUUUGAUACUGAUUGGCUUGAAUACACUAGAGGUAGGCGGAAUGUGACAAGUAGCGGUGAAAUGCAUAGAUAUGUCACAGAACACCAAUUGCGAAGGCAGCUUACUAAGCUAUGAUUGACGCUGAGGCACGAAAGCGUGGGGAUCAAACAGG